rnacentral:lncRNA from 1 species
AAUGGAUUAUAUUACUUACAUAAUUGAUUAAUACUACCAGAAAAAUAGAUUCUUAAUUAUUUCAAUAAUUAUUUCUUGAUUGUUGAAAUAAUUAUUUCAUGAUUAAUUAGAUUCUUAAUUUUAGGCCUAUUUCAAUAAUUAUUUCGUGAUUAAUACAUAUAGUACUAACACGUUAAUGAGUUAAGCACUUGCUAUGCCAUUUUGUUGCACAAGGAUUAUUAAAAGCAUUUCUAAUCAUUUUAAACACAUUCAUAAUCAAAAACCAAUAUACGUGAAGACCAGGCUGCCCCUAUUAACAAUCUUCCCCCUUUUUCAUGAUGACCAACAUCUUCCAUCAACUCUCCCCCUUUGGGCAUUAGCAAAAAUGACGAACAAUUAAGUAU